GGCACCUGUUAGCUCAAUUGGCUAAAGCGUGGUUCUGAUAACGCCAAGGUUGUGGGUUCGAUCCCCAUAUGGGCCA